UUCAACCUACACUGCAGCUCACCACAAUGGGAACUCCAGAAAGAGUAUUGUUCAUCAUUGAAAGGAUGAGAGUGAAAGAAGUUGAAGCGAACCAAAUCUCCCAUCCCGUCUGCCUAACCCUCAAUGCCAAUCUCAUCUCAAGUAGCUUCCCUGCUUGACUUUCAAGGACGCCAGGAACAUGGAGGUCCCCUCCACUCCAUCCAGACAGGUGUCCCCCUUCUGAAGACAAGCCUUGUGUAUUCCCCGGGUGCUGGCCUUCUUUCACACUCACCACUCUUCCCAUUCACCUAUGUUGGGCUCCAAGGCCCCUUCAAGGAGAUAGAACUCAAAGCUUCUGGCCAAGACAAGGGUUACCAGACCCUUAUCAUCACCCCCCACCCCUGUCUCAUUGUAAUGCCCCUCUCCCACCUUGAGUGACCUGUCUUACUUCUUCCUACCCUCUACCAGGAAGGGUAUGUGGCCCACUCUUCAGCCAGUCCCUAUGGGCCCUUAUAUGCUCCCAACCAGCAAGUGUAUGUAAGACCCCGCUUUCUCCAACCAAUCAGCAGGUCAGCAGAUGUAUCCCGAGACUUCUCCUCUCCCUGAGCUAUGAAAACACACAACCGCUGGCCCGGGGUCGGCUCCCCCUGACCAUCAGGAAGUCCCACUGUGCUUGCAGUGUCUCUUAUCUCAAUAAACGUCUUUCUUUUCA